GACGAACGCUGGCGGCGUGCUUAACACAUGCAAGUCGAACGGAAAGGCCCUGCUUUUGUGGGGUGCUCGAGUGGCGAACGGGUGUGUAACACGUGAGUAACCUGCCCUUGACUUUGGGAUAACUUCAGGAAACUGGGGCUAAUACCGGAUAGGAGCUCCUGCUGCAUGGUGGGGGUUGGAAAGUUUCGGCGGUUGGGGAUGGACUCGCGGCUUAUCAGCUUGUUGGUGGGGUAGUGGCUUACCAAGGCUUUGACGGGUAGCCGGCCUGAGAGGGUGACCGGCCACAUUGGGACUGAGAGACGGCCCAGACUCCUACGGGAGGCAGCAGUGGGGAAUAUUGCACAAUGGGCGGAAGCCUGAUGCAGCAACGCCGCGUGCGGGAUGACGGCCUUCGGGUUGUAAACCGCUUUCGCCUGUGACGAAGCGUGAGUGACGGUAAUGGGUAAAGAAGCACCGGCUAACUACGUG
rnacentral:rRNA from 1 species